rnacentral:rRNA from 1 species
CCUACGGGAGGCAGCAGUGAGGAAUAUUGGUCAAUGGACGAGAGUCUGAACCAGCCAAGUAGCGUGAAGGAUGACUGCCCUAUGGGUUGUAAACUUCUUUUAUAUGGGAAUAAAACAUGGUAUGCAUACCCUCUUGUAUGUACCAUAUGAAUAAGGAUCGGCUAACUCCGUGCCAGCAGCCGCGGUAAUACGGAGGAUCCGAGCGUUAUCCGGAUUUAUUGGGUUUAAAGGGAGCGUAGGUGGAUUGUUAAGUCAGUUGUGAAAGUUUGCGGCUCAACCGUAAAAUUGCAGUUGAAACUGGCAGUCUUGAGUACAGUAGAGGUGGGCGGAAUUCGUGGUGUAGCGGUGAAAUGCUUAGAUAUCACGAAGAACUCCGAUUGCGAAGGCAGCUCACUGGACUGCAACUGACACUGAUGCUCGAAAGUGUGGGUAGCAAACAGGAUUAGAUACCCCAGUAGUC